AGCGGCGGAUGGGUGAGUAACACGUGGGGAACCUGCCCCUAAGUCUGGGAUACCAUUUGGAAACAGGUGCUAAUACCGGAUAAUAAAGCAGAUCGCAUGAUCAGCUUUUGAAAGGCGGCGUAAGCUGUCGCUAAGGGAUGGCCCCGCGGUGCAUUAGCUAGUUGGUAAGGUAACGGCUUACCAAGGCGACGAUGCAUAGCCGAGUUGAGAGACUGAUCGGCCACAUUGGGACUGAGACACGGCCCAAACUCCUACGGGAGGCAGCAGUAGGGAAUCUUCCACAAUGGACGCAAGUCUGAUGGAGCGACGCCGCGUGAGUGAAGAAGGUUUUCGGAUCGUAAAGCUCUGUUGUUGGUGAAGAAGGAUAGAGGUAGUAACUGGCCUUUAUUUGACGGUAAUCAACCAGAAAGUCACGGCUAACUACGUGCCAGCAGCCGCGGUAAUACGUAGGUGGCAAGCGUUGUCCGGAUUUAUCGGGCGUAAAGCGAGCGCAGGCGGAAAAAUAAGUCUAAUGUGAAAGCCCUCGGCUUAACCGAGGAACUGCAUCGGAAACUGUUUUUCUUGAGUGCAGAAGAGGAGAGUGGAACUCCAUGUGUAGCGGUGGAAUGCGUAGAUAUAUGGAAGAACACCAGUGGCGAAAGGCGGCUCUCUGGUCUGCAACUGACGCUGAGGCUCGAAAGCAUGGGUAGCGAACAGGAUUAGAUACCCUGGUAGUCCAUGCCGUAACGAUGAGUGCUAAGUGU
rnacentral:rRNA from 1 species